UGUUACAAAUUCUUUUAGACUAGGACGAGAACCCGUAUCAUUCAGUUAAAGUCUGAAAUAAUUACAGAUACACUUUCCUUUUUUUAUUAGCUGUUCUCUGCAAAGGCUGUCUUUCACUGCAAAUUAUGAAGAUGCAAGGUAUAUAACAUAAUGAUCUAGCUUUGAAAUAUUCUAGACUUAAUGAUUCAUUACUGCUUUAUGUCACACAGACAAAAUUGAUACAGAAUUUAUAUUUCUGCCUGCCUUUUAAUAAGUGUUAUGUCUAUUUAAAAGGCUCAAAUUAGCUCUCCAAUUCUGUGAAACAGCAUUCCUUACAAGAAGCAAUGGGCCUAUUGCAGCAUUUGAGUUCUUAGGUUGGAAUUCAUAUACUUAAUCUCUGAAAUUUAGAUUCUCUUUGAGGUCUUGAAGAGGACUCUUGGGAGCUUGAAUAAACAGUUUUGAAGAAGAUGCUUUGCUUUAAUGAUGUUUGUGUUUUCUUUAUAAACUGCAAUAGAACCUGGUAACCCAUGGAAGAUAUUUGCGGUUCCAAUGUUUUCAUCUAUAGCAGAGAGAGUAGGUUACGCUGAACUCAACAGUUAGCUUGAAAUCAAUGUUUUUAUUUACAAUUUGAAACUCAUAAAAAGCAUAAGAGGUCCUUCCUUCCCUCAUCCUAAGUUGCAAUAGAUCUGAUGAUGGAAACUGUUUGCUAAAGGAGUGUCUAAAGAGAAACACAAAGACUUCAGCAAAUUUCUUGCUGGAAAAGAGCUGAGCUAGUUCAGGCAACUUGGGCCUUAAUACAUUAGGACUAAGGGGAAAUAACAUUAAAAUAUCUUUCUGACAAGAACUUUUAUAUCAGUUUAUGUGGGGCUGAAAAAGAAGCAAGGAGAACUCAGUAGGCAUCUGGGUAACAGUAGGUUAGCACCCACAGCCGGAGAACAUUUGUGAAAAUGCCAAUAUCUUUCAUUUUCAGACUCCUCAUUUAUACAGCCAAGCUUUUCAAGUGAGAUCCCGGCAGAGUGAGGUCCUUUCACAGGGUAAGGGACACAUGGAUAUCCAUGCCCACUUCCAUCCACCCUAAGUUGUGGCUGACACCAGCGAUCAGAUAGGCAGUUCCCCAAACCCACAAGCUCACACCAACAUCAGUGGCUGAAUGUUCUUCUGUGCAGUGGAGGCAUGAUCUAGUCUCAGAAUGUGUUUGGUCUUCUCAUCUGCUUCCUGAGAGUUUAAUAUAAAUUUGUCUUUUGGGUUUUUCCUUUUCUUUCCACGUUCAAGAGUGAACUGGGCAGCCAUUUGCAGUUGUUGUUGUUGUUAUUGUUGUUUGUUUGUGUCUAAAUCCAGAAAAAAAUAUAAGCUGCUAUUAAUUUAGCAUGGGUUUCUUCAUGAAAUUUAUCCAUUU
rnacentral:lncRNA from 1 species